rnacentral:lncRNA from 1 species
GGUCAAUCCCUGGCAUGUCUUCAUGUGUCCAAGCAAACACAUCUGCAUGAGCCUGUAAGCAUUUCACCAACUCCUGCUUUUGCUCUCCCUUAAGUCUCGACCCGAUUCUGAUUGUCUUUCCCGGAUUCUCUGGUCCCAGGCUUACAGUUUCCAGAUCCUCUACAGGUUCUUGUCUGCCAUUCUUGUUUUCCACUCGGGUAUCGAGGGAUGUUAUCUGCAUUGCUUCCCCUGUUUCCAUCGCUUUUCACUUGCUUUACUCCCC